UACGUAGGGGGCAAGCGUUGUUCGGAAUGACUGGGCGUAAAGGGUGCGUAGGCGGUGUAGCAAGUUAGAAGUGAAAUACCUAGAGCUUAACUCAGGUGCUGCUUCUAAAACUGCUAUACUUGAGUGCAGUAGAGGAAAGUGGAAUUCCUAGUGUAGCGGUGGAAUGCAUAGAUAUUAGGAGGAACAUCAGUGGCGAAGGCGACUUUCUGGACUGUAACUGACGCUGAGGCACGAAAGUGUGGGGAGCAAACAGG
rnacentral:rRNA from 1 species